AAUAUUUAAGUUAUGUACAUUAUUUGAUACUCAAGUAAAGUACAAGUACCUGGAGUUAAGUCCAGUACUUGAGUAAUUGUCCUCAGUCCCAGUCCACCUCCAACUGAUUCAUUAAGUGAAUGUGGAGCUGUUUUUCCCCUCCUGACCUCCAGGCGGCGACCUUCUUUCAUUUUGAACUUUAUUCUGAAAAACCCUGACUUGGAGGAAACCGGAAGUCUCGCUGCUUCACUGUGAUCUCGGGCUGGCGGCGGGAUAGCUGUGUUCUUUGUUAUUAGUGAGUUUUAAGAAGACAGAGCUCCAGGUGAACCCGCACCCACUCAGAUUUAUUCCCGGUGUAAGAAGCCACAGUGGAGAGCUGCUGGACUUCAGGACCAGAGAGGAAUGGAGGAGGACAACCAGGACCAGGAGCAGCGGAGCAACGAGGUCCCCAGAAGACCAGCAGCAGAUUGGGCCUCUGAUAGCAGCCGUGUUCAGGCGUCCUCAGCAGACGGCAAGCUGGCAACCAGAGCAGGAAAGAAGGAGGAG